AGGGAACACAGCAUGGAUGUGGAACAACAGAGUCACCUCUAGGUUUGCAAGAGAGCCCUAUUUAGGCAUCUCCAGUGUUGGAUCUCCUGACCC
rnacentral:lncRNA from 1 species